CAACAAGAAUCAGAAGUCUUUCUAUGGGAUUAUACAAGAGACCCUUUGAAGGUUAUCAUCUGGGAUCAGUUUGUAUAAACUGAGAAAAGAUGGUCAAAUAAUAAGUAGGGGCUUUCAGUAGGAAAAUGAUGGGCUCAGAAGUGGAAGUAACUCAAGUGGUCCAGGCCAGGAGUUAGUGGAGUAUUUGGACCUUUGUACAGCUGUCUUCCAGGGUAGCUCUAAGCUUUGUUAUGUGGGCUUCUGAGUUCACAUUCUGAAAGGAAAUACACUUCCUCUCUUGAACAUCCCCAAUAGUUUCUUUCCCAUUAUGUUAUUAAGGAGCAUCAGCCAAUGAACCUGUUCUGGACUUCCAUUCUGCAGAACUCCAGAGCAUGUACCAGUGGCAAGGCAGUUCUUUGAUCUUUUCCCUUAAUUCUUCCUUGGGUGGUUCCUAAGGGAAAAGAGUGCACACACGAUCAUGGGAAUGAUAGCCCAGAACAAAAAGAAAUCUUGUCUUACCACUGGGGUUUAUAGGAGAGAUCAGGAAAAACCAUCCUGCUUUCUUCGUGGCCUGAUUUCUGAAGAGACUGAUCCAAAAAUUAUAGCGGCAGGGAACUCUUAGUGCAUUUGGCACUGAGAUUUAAAUGCAACCAGAGUUGUCCUCAAGGCCCAGCCAUUAAAACAUUGUCUCUCUCGACCUUCUGGUAUCUUGUCAGAGAGCUUUUCACUGUGAGGAAGUGUGGAAAUGGCUGUGUGUAUGUGUGUAAUCUGUUAGGUUGGGGGUAGGUUUUCUGUUAGCCAAUACUAUGAGAGACCUGCAAUAAAAAAUUACCCUGAUCUGAUAGAAAGUGAACUGUUUGUGUAUGACUGUGUGUGAAUGUGUGUUUGUGCCUGUAUAUAUCUACACACAGAUAAGAAAUUAUAUUUGAAAUUGUUGGAAAAUAAAUCAAAUUCAGAUCAAAAUGCCUUUCAGGCCCAUUACCUAGAAAUCUAUCUUAAAACCUGGGUAUGUUCCUGAGGUCAUUUCUUUGCUUAUGCUAAAUGAGUUACAAUUAUGAAUGGGGGGUAUUCUACUGCACUUUUAAAAGAAGAAACUAUUUUUGUGUUUGAAAGUGAAACUAACAUCCAGAUCUAUAGCAGAGUCCUAGUUCCUUCAUAAAUCUUUUUAUCUUGACUACAAAUAGAUGAUGCUAUGAUUCUACUAUAUAUUUUAUAUGAAAUCUAUCCAAAUUAGGGUUUGGGAAAGUUUGUGUUGUUGUUUAACCUAAAAUACAGUAACUUAAUAUUCUAAACAAAUGUUCACUCCAUUUGGUCCUUUCUCUGCAGACUUAAUACUGUUUUUAACACUCAGGAACUAUUGCAAGGAACUUUCCCCAGAUCAGAUUCUCUUAAUACUGAAGUAAAAGUCAUCCGUGCCCAGCCACUUAUCACCGCCUUUAUUCCCAAUGAAAGGCAGGACUCAGAACCUGUUAUUUUAUGUCUGUAAUCAUGUACAUAGGCAUCUCCUGGAGGAAAGGGGCAGGAUAACUCACUGGAGUGUGCAGGAUUUUGCUAGAGCAUUUCAAGGAAUGGACUCUUCCCCAGUAUGGAAUUGUUAGAAUAAACUAGCUCAAUGAUGCUGAAGCCUACAAACUUUUAGAAGGUUUUUGAUGAUGUUUUUUUCUGGGAUGGAAUGCUGGUUUACCCUCACCUCCCUUCAUUAGCACAAGCAAAUUUAUAGCCAGUUCUUUCCACUUGCCCUGUUUCUCUCUCACCUAGGAAGCUCCAGAUCCCAGUAUCUUGUUUGGCCCUAAAACUGAAGCAGCUUCUGCUUUUGUCUCCCAGCAGCAGUAAACCACUCAUUCUUUUCCACGGGACAUUAGGAGCCUACAUUCCUUGAGUCUGGAGCUUAUUGCUGAAAGUCCCUUUCUCUGAACUUUUUGCCAGAAGAAAUUAAUGUAACUGACAGGAAUAUUGAUUCUAGUUUUUUUCAUGAGUUGCUUUUUAAAUUUUUUAAUGAUCAAACCUUGUAGGGUGGGGGCUGCCAGGGAGUGGUAAUAUUAUUCCCUUGUCCCUUCGGGUUGCCCGUUCACAUUCAUCUGCUUAUCAUUUGACUGUCUCACUUUUUACCCAGAGCAGUAAUAACCCACACCAUCUUCCUUCAGGGACCCCUAGUUGGCACCCUGUUUGUGGGUGUUCUCAGCCUGGUUCAGAAGAAAUAGAACUCUUGAUCCCAGAAAGUAUAAACUGAAGUGUGGGGUAAAGAUUGUGAUUGGGGGAGGGUUAGAGACAAAAGCUGUAAAUUACUAUGGCUGAUUGAUUUAUUUCUACUAUAUACAUAUAUAUAUAUUUUUUGCUUUUGUAUAUCCUAUAUAGGAAACUAAGCAUUGUAUUUUUUUAACAAAUCUGAGAAAGCACUAUGAACUGCAGAUGUUUGACUUUCAGAAUAUAUUUUGUAUUGUUAAUAUCUUCACAUUGUGUGAAUACUGGAAGCUGCAGAUCUUUGCUAGGACGCAAUAAAUUUAUAUACUUUUUGAGGGGUUCUUCUGGGGGUAUUAAUCAGGCCCCUGUUAUGCUUUGGGGGAGCCCUGGUGCUACUUGCUUCAAGUUUUCAUUCAAUUGUAAGUACCCUGAUGCCUUUUGGACCUUGUGAUCAGAUCAAAGGAGUCCUGAUCCAGGUACCAAGGAAAUGAGGAUAGUCUAGCUGCCUCAAGUGAGGGGCCCUUUGCAUAGCUCUUCUUCCCCCUUUUCAAAGCUGGGUAGCCUCUUGCAGUUGGGAGGAGAAAUGUGAAAUCUGAGUUUCAUCUCCCUUAGAAGAGAGCCAGUAACUUAUAUGAAAGGAUGAAAGGUGGCAGCAGUAGCUUUGGGAAAAGGGAGGAGGAUAUGGCACUUCUCCAACCCCGGAAAACAUUGCUUUUGAAAACUGCUGAUAAAAUAUGGGUAGGUUAUUACUUGUGUUUAGGAGCUUGUGCUCUUUCUGGUGCCUCUCUUGGCUCUACUCCUGGGGUACAGACCUCAUCUAGGAGGAUGAGCAGACCAGCUUUGAGGUUGACCUAUUUCUUUUCUUUUGUCUCUCUUCCCUAAAUACCAGCCCCCAGGAGGACAUUAAGCAGCCUUAAGCUUAAAUUCCUACUCCCUCUUCCAGAUUUAGCUCACUUGCCUUAGAUUGAAGUCUGAGAAAGGGGAAAAAAAUGGGAGUCCCUGGCUUCAUUUCCCCUCCUAAGUCUUCUCCAGUUUGACUUCCCCAAACCCAAGAUUUCCUCCACAAUGUUUAUUUGAGAGAACUGAGUAUUUUGUCCUAUUUCAUCCUUUCCCCAUUAUCAAACAACCCUAGCCUUGUCCCUGCUAAGAAGAGGUGCGGUGAUCUGACCCUCAGCUCCCCUCAGUGUCUGGAAAACAAGCAUAUACCAUGGGGUUAAGCUGCAGCUGCCCAUGGUGGUGAGGCCCUCAAUACCUCUCCUGUGGUGUGUGUUUUCCUCUAGCUCACCUUCAGGAAUUACACUGUGCCUUCUCCACAAAGGAAUGAGAUUCUCUACCCGGCCCCCCAUUUUCCAAGCAGCUGCUCUUGAACAGUGUACACAAGGGCAAAUCUUCAUAUUUCUGAUCAUCCCUUCUCUCAAUGGCAUCCCAUCUCUCUCACCUGGAGUCUAGGGCACAAAGACUUGGGGGAAGGAUGGGGAAAAGAUGCUGAGAUUGACCUGAGGAGACUCCUACGCACACCAGUGGCAGCUGCCCCAGGGCCUGCUUCCUCUUCCCGAGUCUGUCAUCCUCUGGGAGGAGGAGGCAGUGCUCCAGUCUCUGGUGCCUAAAACAAGUUUAUUUCUCUCUUAACACUGGCAAUAACCAGUCUCCAUACCACUGUUGCCUUUUUAAACCUCUUAAUAAUCUCAUACUGUGUGUGUUGUCGGUUCCAAUCCGAUUAUCACCAGGGCUGUGUGGGGAAAUAUUUUUAACUAUGCUCUCAUCUUUCUUGCUCUUCCCCCACCCCCCCAAUCUUAUGUAUGUAUGAUGCUAAUCUCUUGUCCUAGUUUCUUCUUGCUCUUUUGUAUCUUCCUUCCUUGUCUCUCCCCCUACCUUUUGUCUUUGGGUGUUUGGGGGCUUUUUUUUUUUUUCUUUUUCUUUUUCUUUUUUUUUUUUCUUUGCCUUUUUUGUACAAAGAUUAGUUUCAAUGUAGUCUGUAGCUCCUUUGUAAACCAAUUAAAAAAAAGUUUUUUU
rnacentral:lncRNA from 1 species